rnacentral:rRNA from 1 species
UACGUAGGGGGCAAGCGUUGUCCGGAAUCAUUGGGCGUAAAGGGUAGGUAGGUGGUCUCAUUUGUCUAGGGUGAAAGCCUGGGGCUUAACCCCAGAAGUGCCCUGGAAACGGUGAGACUGGAGUACUGGAGAGGGUCGUGGAAUUCCCGGUGUAGCGGUGAAAUGCGUAGAGAUCGGGAGGAACACCAGAGGCGAAGGCGGCGACCUGGACAGUAACUGACACUCAACUACGAAAGCGUGGGGAGCAAACAGG